UACUGGGGGCCAAUUAGUCCAGGAGCAGGGAUGGCACUUUUGCCAUCUCCCAGUCGCUCCAGUUUGACAUGGGCACUGGGUGUGGGGGUUCGGUCUCCCAGCACAGCCCAGUGCCAGCCCUGGGCCCUUUGGAUGAGGUGUUUUGCGCAGUAGGAAAUGAUUUCUCUGAGAGUUGUUUGUCAGAAAAGAAAACUGGAAUUCACAAGAAUUGAGUUUGAAGGGACCGGCAAGGAAUUAAUAUUAGCUUUCCAGAGCGAGCUCCCAGUCGUGCUGCUGUGGGGAGACACAGCCUGAAGAGAGGCGAAACGGAGGUGUGUGCAAAAUAUCGGGUGAAGGGUCCCUUCUCUGGGAAAACUUCAGUGACUCCCAUAAUCGAUUGCCAGCCUACAUCUGUAGCUAAACCAAUUACUGCAGACAAAUUGGCGUGAAUAUUUGCCUCGCAAAGCUCUCCAGCCACACAAAGGGUUCGCUUUCCCCCUUCCCCUGCCAUGAUUUUGUGAGAGAGGAAAAUUACUCGGAUGCUGAGCAUACUGCUGGCAGGACUUUGGUGUAGGCAGAGCCAACAGCUCCCACAGCCACGGCCUCCUCAACGUGGGGCCAUCCUGCAUUCACGUGUCCCCUCCUUCCCAAUCCAUCACCAAGGCCCAGGCCUGCCAGGGGAGAGCUGAGUCCUGGCCUGGCAAUGAAUUUGGUCCUCCUCACUACGUCCCCGCCACAUCCCUGCCGCGUCCCUGCCGCAUCCCCCGACGCCUGCCUGCAUUUUGGAGUGGGGUGUGAAGCAAAUAUGAGACGGCCUCAAACACUCAGUCCCAUGGUGCUUUUUGGAAUAGUGAUAAUUAAAUUCAGACUUUUUU